GACGAACGCUGGCGGCGUGCUUAACACAUGCAAGUCGAACGGAAAGGCCCUGCUUUUGUGGGGUGCUCGAGUGGCGAACGGGUGAGUAACACGUGAGUAACCUGCCCUUGACUUUGGGAUAACUUCAGGAAACUGGGGCUAAUACCGGAUAGGAGCUCCUGCUGCACGGUGGGGGUUGGAAAGUUUCGGCGGUUGGGGAUGGACUCGCGGCUUAUCAGCUUGUUGGUGGGGUAGUGGCUUACCAAGGCUUUGACGGGUAGCCGGCCUGAGAGGGUGACCGGCCACAUUGGGACUGAGAUACGGCCCAGACUCCUACGGGAGGCAGCAGUGGGGAAUAUUGCACAAUGGGCGGAAGCCUGAUGCAGCAACGCCGCGUGCGGGAUGACGGCCUUCGGGUUGUAAACCGCUUUCGCCUAUGACGAAGCGUGAGUGACGGUAAUGGGUAAAGAAGCACCGGCUAACUACGUG
rnacentral:rRNA from 1 species